GUGGGGAAUAUUGCACAAUGGAGGAAACUCUGAUGCAGCGAUGCCGCGUGAGGGAAGAAGGUUUUCGGAUUGUAAACCUCUGUCUUGAGGGACGAUAAUGACGGUACCUCAGGAGGAAGCUCCGGCUAACUACGUGCCAGCAGCCGCGGUAAUACGUAGGGAGCGAGCGUUGUCCGGAAUUACUGGGUGUAAAGGGAGUGUAGGCGGGAUGGCAAGUUAGGUGUGAAAUGCGGAGGCUCAACCUCCGAGCUGCACUUAAAACUGCUGUUCUUGAGUGAAGUAGAGGCUGGCGGAAUUCCCAGUGUAGCGGUGAAAUGCGUAGAUAUUGGGAGGAACAUCAGUGGCGAAGGCGGCCAGCUGGGCUUUUACUGACGCUGAGGCUCGAAAGCGUGGGGAGCAAACAGG
rnacentral:rRNA from 1 species